GUGGCAAAUGCAAAGACAAGCUGGUUAAAUCCCAGUUUUCCCUUCAUUUUCAGUCUCCAGGACUGUAAACCUGAGGACAGGACUGCUCUCCCUGCCUGGGCUGCCUCCUUUGCUGGCGUAUGUUUAGACAGAUCUAGAUCCGGAAAAUGAAAUAUCUGGGAGGCUUCCACUGCACUGCAAGAGAAAGAAAAAGCACCAUUUCCCCCAGAACUGAGGACAACUCUUGGCUGUGCUCAGAAGACUGCUUUUGUGGACCACCAGGAAUUUCCUGUGAUAGAAUAUCAGAAAGCUACUGGUGACUGGGAGGAGGUGACUUCACAGGGCAAAAGUUCCCUUUCUACAAUAAACAUUCUUAGUGUGGCCAUGUAGGAGACUUCCUACACAGACCCCACACCUAUGAGCCACUUGUCUUAUUGACACCAAACAAGCAGAGAAAGAAACAGAACAAUUUGUAAGAGGUUAUCUGUUCUUCAGAGUGAAUUUGCCUACGCGUUCCUAGGAUAUUAGCAUCGUCGUAAAAAGCAGUGAAGAGGAAGCUCACCUAGAAAGGAUUUUAAGAGAACAUAAGUUGUAUAAAGCAAACAGGCAAGCCAGUUCAACAGUUCCUAAGUGAGGGACAGAGGCUUGUGAAAUGACUCAAAGACACUUCAGCAUCUUGAAGGGGGAAGAGCAGGGCACCUCCUUGGCACCGUGAUCAGCCUUGUGCCCACAGGAGGCCUGGGAGCAGCAGGGGAAUGACCAACGCCAUAUUCCAAGAAGUCUACCUCUCCAACAGCCAUCGCAAAAGCCAUCGUUCAGAAGAGAGUUACUAAAGACAAAAACCAGACAUGCUUAAUCAGAGCAGGUGCACACCUAUGACCUAUCUGGUCUUCUACGCAUCUGGGAGACAGUGGUCCAAGGGAAGGGGGCAGCCAGGCAUCUACCACAAUGGGAGGUAGCCCUGCAAGCCAAGCUUCCUUAACAUUUCCUCUUCUGUCUCUCAAAUACUGCACUCUCCUCAACUUAACCUUUGAGACGGAUGCCCACCCACCAAAAUCUCAUUCUCAGGAGCUGUUGGCAUUAUCCCUGGUAAAUGGUAGAGGAUGGAUCCAUCAAAAGCUAAAGCAUCCCUGAGGCCCCAUCGCCUGCAAGGGACGAGGAGACAGCCAGUCCCACCCCCUUUAUCUUCAUGGGGCUGGAUUCGUCGGUUCUCCUGAAGGUUUCCAAGUAGAAGAGAAGAGCUUCGUCCAUUCCUUCCUUUUUCCCUUGUUUCUGUAUGAAGUGGAAUCACAGCAGGACUUUGAGCACCUCUUACCCCUUUUCUGAGGCAAAAUAGAGUUUGCUUUUGAUGUCAUUUCCACUGCCUCCCUGUGACUCACCCACUGCUGAUUCCACAGUGGCUGUCUUCUAGACUACAAGUGUGGGUGACCCAGGCUCCCCGUGACCACCAUGUCUGGUCAUAGUGGUCAAGCUGACAUCAUGGGCAGGGGACUCUAGGGACACGGUCCAGGAAAAGGAGCUAUCUGGUACAUGCACGACAGGACUCCAGACGCCACCUGUAUCCAAGGGUUGCUUAAAUCUUCAGAGGUUUCUCUGUAGCCAUCCCCCAAUUCAGAAAGCCCCCCAAGCAGAACUGCCUCGGGUAAGGGAACAAAGGACAUAUUGUAAGGUGUGGGGAAUGGGGCAAAGAGGCACACCAGUCUCCCGGCUUCUCAGAAGCUACAUAAGCUGCUCUUAGAGGCUGCUUUAUCCUGAAAUGCAGGCUCCUGUCCAGGUCUGCAGAGGUUCCCUUCCAGAGCUGCCCCUCCAUUUCUUACUGCUGUUUCUCCUUUCCCAGGAUGCCUGGGUUCAACCUUGACUUUCAUCCAUUGUUUUGCUUCCUUCUAGCCCAUCUCUUAACUUGUGGCUGAACCACUGCAAAUUACCGUUUACAAACACAUUUGUUUAGGUAUAAUAAACUGGCCUGACUUCUCUAUAGAAUAUGCAGGAAGGAUAUAUACAAUGGGACCCAGACAGAGACCAGGCCUGGAGGACUGAAGGAGGAACUAGGAGUGAUGUAAUCCAGAUCCAGGGCAGGCGGCCCCUCCCCUCCCCCUCUGUGACAGAGAACAAGGUGCAUCAUCUCGCCAGACCUCAGCCGGCUCCCUCCUUUGUGAACUAACAGUGUGUAAUCAGAGGGUGUCUCAGAAUUCAGGCUCUAAAAUUCCAGGUCAAUAAGAUGACUUCUGAGCACUUACCUAAUACCAGGCACAAAACGGCCCAGAUCCCUAGCCCCAUGAGCUUAGCAUAAUGGGAAGAGCUGAUAUCAAACAAAUAAUUAUAAACAAUAAACCUACAACAGUCUGAAUUACUACAGAAGAAAACUGAAAGUGCUCUAAAAGCAAAUAAUCCAGUCUGGAUAUUGUGAUGGCAUAAAUUUUUGCAACUACCCCAUAGCACUCACUGGAUUGAGGAAAUGGCAUCAAUGUACACGUGAAGGAAAUGUGCAGAAAAUCCCAAGUUUCAGUGGGAAACAUGGAAGGCCUAAUGAUAACACUGGGACCAGAACUUGGGACCAGAACUUGAAGGAAAAAAAGGUAAAGCAAAGGAGCCCAUUUAGGUUCUUACUUCCCAAGUCCACAGGCCCCUUUCAUUCUCAAGAAACUGAACCUCCCCCUGGGCACAGUCACUUUGUGGUGAAAUCUACAGGGGACCUUUUAAAGGGCAUAGUCAUCAGUGAAAGAAACUGACCGUGGCUGAUUCAAAUGGAAAGAUACACACUGAAUUGCUCGGUGUGGAGGCUAGAGAGCUGGGUCCAGAAAAUGGACAGGAACAAAGGCAAGUCAGGCCAGAGUCCAGCCCAAAUCACAGCACAGAACCGGACCAAUGUGGAUCAUGAGCAUGUACCUCAGGAGCUCAGGGUUCAGAUCCUGGAGGCAGACUCUUUUGUUCCCAUCCUAUCACCAACAAGCUGGGCAACCUUGAGUAAAUUGUUUAAAUCGUCUGCAAAAUUAAACGAAGAAAUUCCAGGGACACCUGGGUGGCUCAG